AUGGCCAUGGCUGGUCCAGCUUGCAGAUUUCUCUCGUUUUUUUUGUGUUUUGUAGCAUGUCUUAUCGUUAUGGAGUCUGCUUUGUAUGCCCAUUCAUGGUGCACUCCACAUCCCAACCCGAGGGGAGAAGCGGCGUUUAAGCAGAAGACACAUAAGUUUUGGGAGUACCAGGAGCAGAGCAAUACCUGGGUGGAAAUAAGCAUGCCUUUCAAUCUCAUGUCCUGCAUCAACGGCACCUGCACAAAGGUAGGCUCAAUCAAGCAACCACAAAGCAAACAUGGCCGUGCUUCCAUCUCGAGUCAAGAGAAGGAUACUGAUCCCCUCCUGCCCAUAAGGAAAAGAAUCUCCUUGGCAAGGAUGUCAGAGUCGUCCGUGUGGGUGACAGGCCAAAGUGGAUCAAUCUAUGAGAGGUUCUGGAACGGGGUCAUGUGGGUGAUUGCUCCUCAUGAGCUUCCAACAGCGGCUGGGUAUGCAACAGCAACUUUCAUCGUCAACACAACCAUCCUUGCUCUCUCCGAGGCUGGAAUCCUCUACCAGCUACAGCUAAAUGAACAUGCCCAGCCUAUCUGGACUGAGAUGACAUUCAGCUAUGAACAACAUUUCACAGACCUUGGAGAGAAGACACAAAGUCAAGCUACACACAUAAAAAAUGGGGUCGUAUCACAUAAUGGAAGGAAACUUUUCCUGUCUAUCACGAAUGGGUCCCUAGUUGAGGUCACAGAACUUCAGCCUCUAAGGUGGAAUUGCCAUGGGCGUCCUCCAGGAGCAGAUGUAUCAUAUAUAUCUGCUGCUGAAAAUGCAAGACCAGGGACCGUGUUCACAGUAAGUUCUACUGGAGACCUAUAUGAAUUUGAUAAGGAAACGAAGCCAUCAUGGAAAAAGCAUAUAUGGAGUGAACAAACAACCAAGAAUGUCUCGCUGAGCUCAUCUGUUGGGUGUGCUUUGCAUGGUCUCUUAGGCUCUAAUUCAGUAUCACUCUUUCUGAUAACCAAGGAUGGUCUUUUAGUGGAGCGGCGCUUGCAUAGAAGAAAGUGGAAGUGGGAUAAACAUGGAUCACCUAAGGGUCAAAGACUAAGUUCAAUUACAGAAGUUCAACAGGAUGAAUCUAAUGAUGUGACUUCAAUGUUUUUUACAACAACCACAGGAAAAGUAUUUGAGUAUCAGUUUCCAAAAUAUACAGGUGGGGCUUCAAGCAAUAAGAUUAGAGGACUAUGGGUAAAUCACAUGUCUCCUGACCAUGCAAAAGUAGCAGUAAGUGUUCGAGGUCUACAGAUUCAAGUUGGCAGAUUGAUAUUCCAGCUAGAUGAUGGUAGGCUUGGAGAGCUACAUUUACCUGGCAUGGGAGGUGAUCAUUUUGGUCCAAGUCAACAAAAUAACAUAAGAAGGAAAGUGCCAAACAAGUAUGAGUGGUCUAUCCUAGAUACACCAGAAACAGAAGGUUGGAAUGCAGAAUAUUGCACUGAAGAGCAUGGCCCUACAAACUGUAUUACUGGAGCGAUGAAUGUAGCUGCAGAUACGGAACCAACCAACCUGAGCAAUGCCCCACCUAGAAGGCGUAAAGCAGAAGAGAAGCAACACUACCUGCAUGGUCAGAGUCAUGAGAGUGAUGAAACUGAAUCAUACAACAUUCUAUCACGAAGCAUUUAUCUUAACUUCCAUAUGCGGGUGAUGCAUGCAGAUAGAUCACUUUUCCUCAUAACAGAUAACGGGUUAACUUUGGAAUAUCUAAAGAGCAAUGGUGUUUGGCUAUGGCUAAGACAUGAACACAUCACAGGCAUGAAGGGUACACUAGGAAGCUAUAAUGGCAGCUUGUAUCUUGUCGAUCUUCAUGGGAACUUACAUAUUAGAGAAAGAAAUGGUGACGAACUCUUAUGGAUUAAUUGCACAGCAAUGCGGAAGGGAAGACAGGUUGCAAGUGGGCCUCCAUGGGAUGGCAUCCCUGGGUUAUCACGCAGAGUGACAACAGAUGAUGCACUUUUCUUUGUUAACAAGAGAGGCAGAUUGCUACAAUUCACGGUGGCAUUGCGUAAAUUCAAGUGGAAGGACUGCCACAGCCCUCCGGAUACCAAGGUUGCAUUCAUCGUGGAUCAGGAGGUGUUUAGAAGAAAUAUCAUCUUCGUGGUUGGCCGGAACGGUUGGAUGUACCAGUAUAACAGAAUUACAGAGCUAUGGCACAGGCACUACCAAUCACCUCACCUCGUCCUGUCAAGAUCCCCUGGGACAGCGAUGCGACCGUCCCCUCUCUCCCUCACCGGUUCCAUCUUCAUGAUUUCCGAGCAUGGGGGCCUCGUGGAGUACCAUUUCAGCCCGCAGGACGGGUGGGAGUGGGUAGAGCACGGGACGCCCCACCGGGACGUGACCCUCGUGGUCGCCCCAGGGCCGUGCUUCGACGGCACCCAGCUGUUCGUCAUCGGGUCCGACGGACACGUCUACCUGCGGCACCUGGACGAGCGAACGUGGAGGUGGACGAGCCACGGGCACCCGUCGGAACCAUCCAGCACGACGACGGACGUUGCCGGUGGCGGCGAGCAGAGCUGCGCCACGCUGGGCGCCGCGGACGCGCACUACGCGAGCAGCUUCAGGGGGAGCUGCGACGAAAAGGUGGCGGCUGUGCGGCCGGUGCCGUUCUCCGAGGACGCGGUGGUCUUCGAACUGCGCGACGGCCGGUUGGCGGAGCUGCGGCGUGCGGCGGAGGGUCGCGGCGGGUGGGAGUGGGCGCGGAUCAUCGGCACGCCCGCCAGCGCCUGCAUGACAAGCUACUGGACGGCCGUCGCCACGUAG
rnacentral:rRNA from 1 species